rnacentral:ncRNA from 1 species
GCAGAGUAAGCUGUCGUGCGUUAAGUGUUGGUCGAACGGGGAGUUGUCGGCCGGACGAAAAGUUUUGACUUGCGGUACGGCGGCUGCAUCCCGCUGC